rnacentral:rRNA from 1 species
GGCUUCGGGCUCGACCUCCACCCUUUGUGAACACAACUUGUUGCUUCGGGGGCGACCCUGCCGUUUCGACGGCGAGCGCCCCCGGAGACCAUCAAACACUGCAUCUUUGCGUCGGAGUCUAAGUAAAUUAAACAAAACUUUCAACAACGGAUCUCUUGGUUCUGGCAUCGAUGAAGAACGCAGCGAAAUGCGAUAAGUAAUGUGAAUUGCAGAAUUCAGUGAAUCAUCGAAUCUUUGAACGCACAUUGCGCCCUUUGGUAUUCCGAAGGGCAUGCCUGUUCGAGCGUCAUUUCACCACUCAAGCCUGGCUUGGUAUUGGGCGCCGCGGUCUAAUCCGCGCGCCUCAAAGUCUCCGGCUGAGCUGUCCGUCUCUAAGCGUUGUGAUUUCUAUUAAUCGCUUCGGAGUGCGGGCGGCCGCGGCCGUUAAAUCUUUCACAAGGUGACCUCGG